rnacentral:rRNA from 1 species
UACGGGGGGGGGCAAGCGUUGUUCGGAAUUACUGGGCGUAAAGGGCUCGUAGGUGGCCAACUAAGUCGGACGUGAAAUCCCUCGGCUUAACCGGGGAACUGCGUCCGAUACUGGUUGGCUUGAGUUUGGGAGAGGGAUGCGGAAUUCCAGGUGUAGCGGCGAAAUGCGUAGAUAUCGGUAGGAACACCAGUGGCGAAGGCGGUCUCCUGGGGCAUUCUUGACGCUGAGGCGGCGAAAGCUGGGGGGAGCAAACGGGAUU